UGUAAGGGCAUAAGGGAGCUUGACUGCGAGGCUGACAAGCCAAGCAGGGCGGAAACGCGGGCCUAGUGAUCCUACGGCGGCAAGUGGAAGCGCCGUGGCUUAACGGAUAAAAGCUACUCCGGGGAUAACAGGCUGAUCUCCCCCAAUAGUCCACAUAGACGGGGAGGUUUGGCACCUCGAUGUCGGCUCAUCGCAUCCUGGGGCUGCAGUAGGUCCCAAGGGUUGGGCUGUUCGCCCAUUAAAGCGGUACGUGAGCUGGGUUCAGAACGUCGUGAGACAGUUCGGACAAAGAGCUGUCGGAAAAUCCGGCUAUAUGCUGGGAAGCCUGGUGGAUCCCACGCUACCCAUUGGAGGGCCAUAUGGCCAGAGUGGGUGACAACGCGAUGGGUGCAGGCAAUCAGCAGGGAAGGCCAGAUCACCUCUGCCACUAUGUGGCGGGGUUCGUCGACGGAGAAGGAAGCUUCCACGUGGCGGUGCAGAGAAGUCCGAGCAGCCGCUGGAAGUGGCAGGUGAUUCCGGAGUUCCACGUGUCCCAGAACGACGGCAAUCAGCAUGUGCUGGAGCUGGUGCGAAGCGUUCUGGGUUGUGGAUACAUCAAGCCGAAUCACCGAGGCUCCCGAGAUCGGACCUUCGUGCUAGUGGUAAGAGAUCGCACCGAUCUCGCGAUGAAGGUUGUACCGUUCUUUCGCGAGUUUCAGUUACGCACAACGAAGCGCGCGGAGUUCGAGCGGUUCGCCCACGUCGUCGAGAUGAUGAUGGGAGGUCACCACCUCAGCCCCAAGGGGUUGAGGGAGAUCUUGAAAGUGGCCUUUCAGAUGAAUCAAGCAGGUGCGCGGCGCAGAAUGUCGUUGGACGAUAUCCUCGCCGAUCUGGAACCCUCAGAGACUGUACGCCGGACCCCCACGACCGUGGGGUGAAGAUACAGUCCGAGCUCCCAGGCGACUGGGAGAGGCAGGCAGAAAUGACCUGCCCCCUUCCUUGGUCGGAAGGAGUAACAAGACUGUCGGUCCCUAUCCGCUGCGGGCGCAGGUGGUUUGAGGGGAUUUGCUCCUAGUACGAGAGGACCGGAGUGAACGGACCGCUGGCGUACCGGUUGUCCUGCCAAGGGCACGCGCCGGGUACCUAUGUCCGGACGGGAUAAGCGCUGAAAGCAUCUAAGCGCGAAGCCCACCCCAAGAUGAGACCACCCACCGGGUAACCGGGUAAGCCCCCAGGUUGACGACCUGGUCAAUAGGCCGGAGGUGUAAGCGCCGCAAGGCGUUGAGCUGACCGGUACUAAUCGGGCGAGGGCUUGAUGCC
rnacentral:rRNA from 1 species